UUUAUUUAGUAAAUUUUCUUAGGGAAAUUUUUGGGAAAAAUAAGAGAAUAUAUAAUCAGGAAAUGUCAGGAAAAAUUAGAAGAAAUAAGCAAAUAAUAUUAUUAAAAUAAGAAAAUCGAUUGACAAAUAAAUACGGGAUUGAGCCUAUAAAAGAAGAGUCUGUAAAAAGCGAAGAAGAUUAAAUUCGCAACAAGAAUUCAUGUUUGCAUAAAUAACAAUCUCGGCAUUGGAACCAAUAUUCAUUUUGAUAGUGUCCUUUUUUGCCACAUACCAAGCAUCAUUCUUUUUUUCUAGCGAUAUUUAUAUAUAUUUAAUAUUUUUUUUGCUUUUCUAUUAUUUGUUUGUAUAGUGUGGUAUUUUUUAUAUAGAGAUGAUGUCAAAAUUGAUAAUGCCAUUUGAUUUCUAAUAAUAUCAUAACUCGACACUGAUAUCUUCAAAAUUCUACCAUGGCCGUACUAUAGUUUUAAGAAUAUAAAAAUUUGAUUUUAUUAUAUUAUUUUGUGUUUGGGUAAAAUAUUAAUGAUAGCAAGCUUGGCUUGUACAAAAUUGAAAAUCAAAGGAUAUUUGGUUCCAAUGAAUCAAAUUCAAUUGUUAAAAAAUUGUCUGAUUUAGUUGUAAAAUAAUGGAACUGACAUUUUGAAUGUUUUUUCUAAAGCUCAAGAUUUCAUGAAAGGAAGAUUUGUCUUCUAAUUUUAAAGGUUAUAAGUUUCAUAUAUUUCAAUCCAAAAAGGAAGGGUAUA